rnacentral:rRNA from 1 species
ACUCCUACGGGAGGCAGCAGUGGGGAAUAUUGCACAAUGGGCGCAAGCCUGAUGCAGCCAUGCCGCGUGUAUGAAGAAGGCCUUCGGGUUGUAAAGUACUUUCAGCAGUGAGGAAGGUGGGUAUGUUAAUAGCAUACUCAUUUGACGUUAGCUGCAGAAGAAGCACCGGCUAACUCCGUGCCAGCAGCCGCGGUAAUACGGAGGGUGCGAGCGUUAAUCGGAAUUACUGGGCGUAAAAGCGCAUGCAGGUGGUUUGUUAAGUCAGAUGUGAAAGCCCGGGGCUCAACCUCGGAAUUGCAUUUGAAACUGGCAAACUAGAGUACUGUAGAGGGGGGUAGAAUUUCAGGUAGCGGUGAAAAUGCGUAAGAGAUCUGAAGGAAUACCGGUGGCGAAGGCGGCCCCUGGACAGAUACUGACACUCAGAUGCGAAAGCGUGGGGAAGCAAACAGGAUUAGAUACCCUGGUAAGGCGUAG